rnacentral:rRNA from 1 species
UUUAGGAAAAAAAGCGACGCUAGGAAAUGAGCGCGCCUUGAUGGUACUAAUUGAAUAAGUGACAGCUAACUAUGUGCCAGCAGCUGCGGUAAAACAUAGGUCACGAGCAUUAUCCGGAUUUAUUGGGCGUAAAGGAAGCGUAGGUGGGAGGUUGAUCCAUUGUUAAAGGCAUUUGCUUAACAAAUGUGUGCGAUGGAGAUCGCCUCCCUAGAGUUAAUCAGGGGGUACUGGAAUUCAAUGUGUAGCGGUGGAAUGCGUAGAUAUAUUGAGGAACACCAGAGGCUAAGGCGAGUGCCUAGGAUAUAACUGACACUGAGGCUUGAAAGCGUGGGGAGCAAAUGGGAUUAGAUACCCCAGUAGUCCACGCCGUAAACGAUGGGCAUUAGGUAUUUGACAUCUAGUCGAGUGCUGUAGCUAACGCGUUAAAUGCCCCGCCUGGGUAGUAUACAUGCAAAUACG